rnacentral:rRNA from 1 species
AUGCAAGCCAUCAGUGGCUCACCCAAUAACAGAAGCCCGGGACCUGACGGUUUCACCAACGAGUUUUACAAGACUUUCAAGCUGCUGCUAAAGGAUGACCUGCUCCGUUUUUUUGAUGAUUUCCACAAAACUGAAGUUGAUAUUGCUGGUAUUAACUCUGCUCUCAUCACCCUGCUACCCAAAAAGGAUACGCCCCUGGAGAUGCGGGAUUUCAGACCAAUUUCUCUUGUACACAGUAUACCCAAGCUGGUUUCUAGGGUUCUGGCAUGCAGACUGAAAACUUGGAUCCAUCUCUUGAUUCACUCCCUCUAG